CAGACUCAGCGCAUGAGAACGUAUACAAAGGUUCAAAAACGAGGCUCUGUGGGAAGAACUAUAGACGUUACUCGCUACAUAGGCUAUGAUGAACUAAGGCAUGAUCUAGCACGUAUGUUUGGAAUUGAGGGACAGCUUGAAGAUCCUCAAAGAACUGAGUGGAAGCUUGUGUAUGUUGACCAUGAGAAUGAUAUACUGCUUGUUGGUGACGAUCCUUG
rnacentral:misc_RNA from 1 species